rnacentral:rRNA from 1 species
UACGAAGGGGGCUAGCGUUGUUCGGAGUUACUGGGCGUAAAGGGCGCGUAGGCGGCGCACCAAGUCAGGCGUGAAAGCCCUGGGCUCAACCCGGGAAUUGCGCUUGAGACUGGUGUGCUUGAGUACGGGAGAGGAUAGUGGAAUUCCCAGUGUAGAGGUGAAAUUCGUAGAUAUUGGGAAGAACACCCGUGGCGAAGGCGGCUCUCUGGGACGGUACUGACGCUGAGACGCGAAAGCGUGGGGAGCGAACAGG